UUGUUUGCAGUAUGUUUGUUCUCAUAAGUGUCCAAGUUUGGCCGGACAUUAUACUAAUUUCAUCUAUAAACAAAUCUAGACCACGUCAGUUGUAUGUUUUGACUGAAUAUUUCAUUGAUCAAGAAAAAUACUUCUAUUAUCUACUACUACAUAUGAAUGCAGCUAUUUCUGUAGGAUUUAUUGUAGUGGCAGCAACAGGGACAAUGCUCAUCGCAUAUUUUCAAUAUAUGUGCGGAAUGUUUGCAAUAGCUAGUUAUCGUAUCGAGAACGCAAUAAAGAUUCGAACAUUGCAAGAUAUUAAAUUGCAGAAUAGAAAUUUGAUUCAUAAGAGCAUAAAAAACGCUGUAGAUAUUCACCGAAAAGCCAUAAAGUUUUGCAUAUAUCUGAUAUCUAAAUUUGAGAUAUCAUUCUUCUUUUUAAUAAUAUUUGGA